CCUACGGGAGACAGCAGUGAGGAAUAUUGGUCAAUGGGCGCGAGCCUGAACCAGCCAAGUAGCGUGAAGGAUGACUGCCCUAUGGGUUGUAAACUUCUUUUAUAAAGGAAUAAAGUGAGGCACGUGUGCCUUUUUGUAUGUACCUUAUGAAUAAGGAUCGGCUAAUUCCGUGCCAGCAGCCGCGGUAAUACGGAGGGUCCGGGCGUUAUCCGGAUUUAUUGGGUUUAAAGGGAGCGUAGAUGGGUUGUUAAGUCAGUUGUGAAAGUUUGCGGCUCAACCGUAAAAUUGCAGUGGAAACUGGCGGUCUUGAGUGCAGUUGAGGUAGGCGGAAUUCGUGGUGUAGCGGUGAAAUGCUUAGAUAUCACGAAGAACUCCGAUUGCGAAGGCAGCUUACUAAACUGCCACUGACAUUGAGGCUCGAAAGUGUGGGUAUCGAACAGGAUUAGAUACCCCAGUAGUC
rnacentral:rRNA from 1 species